rnacentral:misc_RNA from 1 species
GCAAACUUGGUCAUUUAGAGGAAGUAAAAGUCGUAACAAGGUCUCCGUUGGUGAACCAGCGGAGGGAUCAUUACAGAGUUGUAAAACUCCCAAACCCAUGUGAACAUACCUGUUGCCUCGGCGGCCUACCCUGUAGUUACCCUGUAGUACGCCGACGGAAUACAAAACUCUGCUUUAGUAUCAUAUCUGAGAAAAAAACAAAUAAGUCAAAACUUUCAACAACGGAUCUCUUGGUUCUGGCAUCGAUGAAGAACGCAGC